GUGCAUUAGCUAGUUGGUAAGGUAAUGGCUUACCAAGGCGAUGAUGCAUAGCCGAGUUGAGAGACUGAUCGGCCACAAUGGGACUGAGACACGGCCCAUACUCCUACGGGAGGCAGCAGUAGGGAAUCUUCCACAAUGGGCGAAAGCCUGAUGGAGCAACGCCGCGUGUGUGAUGAAGGGUUUCGGCUCGUAAAACACUGUUGUAAGAGAAGAAUGACAUUGAGAGUAACUGUUCAAUGUGUGACGGUAUCUUACCAGAAAGGAACGGCUAAAUACGUGCCAGCAGCCGCGGUAAUACGUAUGUUCCAAGCGUUAUCCGGAUUUAUUGGGCGUAAAGCGAGCGCAGACGGUUAUUUAAGUCUGAAGUGAAAGCCCUCAGCUCAACUGAGGAAUUGCUUUGGAAACUGGAUGACUUGAGUGCAGUAGAGGAAAGUGGAACUCCAUGUGUAGCGGUGAAAUGCGUAGAUAUAUGGAAGAACACCAGUGGCGAACGCGGCUUUCUGGACUGUAACUGACGUUGAGGCUCGAAAGUGUGGGUAGCAAACAGGAUUAGAUACCCUGGUAGUCCACACCGUAAACGAUGAGUGCUAGUGUUUGAGGGUUUC
rnacentral:rRNA from 1 species